UGGGGAAUAUUGGGCAAUGGGCGAAAGCCUGACCCAGCAACGCCGCGUGAGGGAAGAAGGUUUUCGGAUUGUGAACCUCUGUCCUUGGGGACGAAGAAAGUGACGGUACCCAAGGAGGAAGCCCCGGCUAACUACGUGCCAGCAGCCGCGGUAAUACGGAGGGGGCGAGCGUUGUCCGGAAUUAAUGGGCGUAAAGGGUGCGUAGGCGGUUUCCUAAGUCGGAUGUGAAAGCCCCGGGCUUAACUCGGGGGGUGCAUUUGAAACUGGGAGGCUAGAGUGCAGGAGAGGGAAGCGGAAUUCCUAGUGUAGCGGUGAAAUGCGUAGAUAUUAGGAGGAACACCAGUGGCGAAGGCGGCUUUCUGGACUGUAACUGACGCUGAGGCACGAAAGCGUGGGGAGCAAACA
rnacentral:rRNA from 1 species